UGGGGAAUAUUGCACAAUGGGCGAAAGCCUGAUGCAGCAACGCCGCGUGAGGGACGACGGCCUUCGGGUUGUAAACCUCUUUUAGCAAGGAAGAAGCGAAAGUGACGGUACUUGCAGAAAAAGCGCCGGCUAACUACGUGCCAGCAGCCGCGGUAAUACGUAGGGCGCAAGCGUUAUCCGGAAUUAUUGGGCGUAAAGAGCUCGUAGGCGGUUUGUCGCGUCUGCUGUGAAAACCCGAGGCUCAACCUCGGGCCUGCAGUGGGUACGGGCAGACUAGAGUGCGGUAGGGGAGAUUGGAACCCCUGGUGUAGCGGUGGAAUGCGCAGAUAUCAGGAAGAACACCGAUGGCGAAGGCAGAUCUCUGGGCCGUAACUGACGCUGAGGAGCGAAAGGGUGGGGAGCAAACAGGCUUAGAUACCCUGGUAGUCCACCCCGUAAACGUUGGGAACUAGUUGUGGGGUCCAUUUCCACGGAUUCCGUGACGCAGCUAACGCAUUAAGUUCCCCGCCUGGGGAGUACGGCCGCAAGGCUAAACUCAAAGGAAUUGACGGGGUCAUAGCUG
rnacentral:rRNA from 1 species